CCCUUAGAUGUCCUGGGCCGCACGCGCGCUACACUGAUGCAUUCAACGAGUUCUACCUUGGCCGAGAGGCCUGGGCAAUCUUUUGAACCUGCAUCGUGAUAGGGAUAGAUUAUUGCAAUUAUUAAUCUUGAACGAGGAAUUCCUAGUAAACGCAGAUCAUCAAUCUGCAUUGAUUACGUCCCUGCCCUUUGUGCACACCGCCCGUCGCACCUACCGAUUGAAUGGUCCGGUGAAGCCUCGGGAUUGUGGCGAGUUCCCUUUAUUGGGAGUUUGUCGCGAGAACUUGUCUAAACCUUAUCAUUUAGAGGAAGGUGAAGUCGUAACA
rnacentral:rRNA from 1 species